rnacentral:rRNA from 1 species
AGAGUUUGAUCAUGGCUCAGAUUGAACGCUGGCGGCAGGCCUAACACAUGCAAGUCGAACGGUAACAGGAAACAGCUUGCUGUUUCGCUGACGAGUGGCGGACGGGUGAGUAAUGUCUGGGAAACUGCCUGAUGGAGGGGGAUAACUACUGGAAACGGUAGCUAAUACCGCAUAACGUCGCAAGACCAAAGAGGGGGACCCUCGGGCCUCUUGCCAUCGGAUGUGCCCAGAUGGGAUUAGCUUGUUGGUGGGGUAACGGCUCACCAAGGCGACGAUCCCUAGCUGGUCUGAGAGGAUGACCAGCCACACUGGAACUGAGACACGGUCCAGACUCCUACGGGAGGCAGCAGUGGGGAAUAUUGCACAAUGGGCGCAAGCCUGAUGCAGCCAUGCCGCGUGUAUGAAGAAGGCCUUCGGGUUGUAAAGUACUUUCAGCGGGGAGGAAGGGAGUAAAGUUAAUACCUUUGCUCAUUGACGUUACCCGCAGAAGAAGCACCGGCUAACUCCGUGCCAGCAGCCGCGGUAAUACGGAGGGUGCAAGCGUUAAUCGGAAUUACUGGGCGUAAAGCGCACGCAGGCGGUUUGUUAAGUCAGAUGUGAAAUCCCCGGGCUCAACCUGGGAACUGCAUCUGAUACUGGCAAGCUUGAGUCUCGUAGAGGGGGGUAGAAUUCCAGGUGUAGCGGUGAAAUGCGUAGAGAUCUGGAGGAAUACCGGUGGCGAAGGCGGCCCCCUGGACGAAGACUGACGCUCAGGUGCGAAAGCGUGGGGAGCGAACAGGAUUAGAUACCCUGGUAGUCCACGCCGUAAACGAUGUCGACUUGGAGGUUGUGCCCUUGAGGCGUGGCUUCCGGAGCU